rnacentral:rRNA from 1 species
UGGGGAAUAUUGCACAAUGGGGGAAACCCUGAUGCAGCGACGCCGCGUGAACGAAGAAGGUAUUCGUAUCGUAAAGUUCUUUCCUAUGGGAAGAUAAUGACAGUACCAUAGAAGAAAGCUCCGGCUAAAUACGUGCCAGCAGCCGCGGUAAUACGUAUGGAGCGAGCGUUGUCCGGAAUUAUUGGGCGUAAAGGGUACGCAGGCGGUUUAAUAAGUCGAAUGUUAAAGAUCGGGGCUCAACCCCGCAAAGCAUUGGAAACUGAUAAACUUGAGUAGUGGAGAUGAAAGUGGAAUUCCUAGUGUAGUGGUGAAAUACGUAGAUAUUAGGAGGAAUACCAGUAGCGAAGGCGACUUUCUGGACACAAACUGACGCUGAGGUACGAAAGCGUGGGGGGCAAACAGG